UACGUAGGGUGCGAGCGUUAAUCGGAAUUACUGGGCGUAAAGCGUGCGCAGGCGGUUGUGCAAGACAGAUGUGAAAUCCCCGGGCUUAACCUGGGAAUUGCAUUUGUGACUGCACGGCUAGAGUGCGUCAGAGGGGGGUAGAAUUCCACGUGUAGCAGUGAAAUGCGUAGAUAUGUGGAGGAAUACCGAUGGCGAAGGCAGCCCCCUGGGAUGACACUGACGCUCAUGCACGAAAGCGUGGGGAGC
rnacentral:rRNA from 1 species